AGUGAACGCUGGCGGUAGGCCUAACACAUGCAAGUCGAACGGCAGCACAGUAAGAGCUUGCUCUUACGGGUGGCGAGUGGCGGACGGGUGAGGAAUACAUCGGAAUCUACUUUUUCGUGGGGGAUAACGUAGGGAAACUUACGCUAAUACCGCAUACGACCUACGGGUGAAAGCAGGGGAUCUUCGGGCCUUGCGCGAUUGAAUGAGCCGAUGUCGGAUUAGCUAGUUGGCGGGGUAAAGGCCCACCAAGGCGACGAUCCGUAGCUGGUCUGAGAGGAUGAUCAGCCACACUGGAACUGAGACACGGUCCAGACUCCUACGGGAGGCAGCAGUGGGGAAUAUUGGACAAUGGGCGCAAGCCUGAUCCAGCCAUACCGCGUGGAUGAAGAAGGCCUUCGGGUUGUAAAGCCCUUUUGUUGGGAAAGAAAAGCAGCAGGUUAAUACCCCGCUGUUCUGACGGUACCCAAAGAAUAAGCACCGGCUAACUUCGUG
rnacentral:rRNA from 1 species